UACGGAGGGUGCAAGCGUUGCUCGGAAUUAUUGGGCGUAAAGGGUAGGUAGGUGGUCUUAUUUGUCUGGGGUGAAAGCCUUGAGCUUAACUCAAGAAGUGCCCCAGAAACGGUAAGACUAGAGUCCUAGAGAGGGUCGUGGAAUUCCCGGUGUAGCGGUGAAAUGCGUAGAGAUCGGGAGGAACACCAGUGGCGAAGGCGGCUACCUGGCCUGAUACUGACACUGAAGCACGAAAGCGUGGGGAGCAAACAGG
rnacentral:rRNA from 1 species